rnacentral:rRNA from 1 species
AUAUUUAAGUUGUUGCAGUUAAAAAGCUCGUAGUUGGAUUUCGGGCGGGUGCUGCCGGUCCGCCCUUUGGGUGUGCACCGGUUGCGCCCGUCCUGCUGCCGGGGACGGGUACCUGGGCUUCACUGUCCGGGUCCCGGAGUCGGUGAGGUUACUUUGAGUAAAUUAGAGUGUUCAAAGCAGGCUUACGCUCUGAAUACAUUAGCAUGGAAUAACACGAUAGGACUCUGGCCUAUCUUGUUGGUCUGUAGGACUGGAGUAAUGAUUAAGAGGGACAGUCGGGGGCAUUCUUAUUUCAUUGUCA